AGCAUACCUCGCAUUAAUGCGAGGUCCUUGGUCUUUCAAUCGAAAAAAAAAGAGCUCGCAAUUGAAUGGCAAAGAACUUCGUUGACUCAUUUUUAAACCCCAAAAUUAGAAAACCCUAAAACAUGAACAAAAUUGGGAACUGCAAAUUGAACCCAAAAUCCAUCCCAAAUCCAUCAUUCAAAUUUGUGGAAGAGCAAAAUCCAUCAAGAGGAGGUACGAAUUGUAGGGAAGGUCUGCAAGUUUGCUUUAUCUUACAGCCCCGACACCAAAAGCUUUCGCCAGAAAUUUGAAGUCACUGGAAAGCUGCAAAAUGGAGACCAUUACAUUGAUGCUACAUCCAUUAGCCGGUGAAUGAGGUGUGGAUGGAGUUGGUGACACAAAGGCAAAGCCUUUAUGAGGCUUUGAUUGGUACCACUAGGAUCAAAUAGCCACAAGACCAUCUUUCGAAACUUAGACUAGUUAUUGGGUAAGUUUAUAAGUUUACGACUUGAACAAGGUUACCUCUCUUUAAAUUUACGAUCGCUACGUUUGGAUUAACUGUUUUUUUGGGUGUUUUUCAAAAAAUUUACUGUUCAUUUUUUGUAAAACAGUAAAUAUUGUUUGGAUUGCUGUCAUUCACAAACAAAUUAUUUUUGAAAAA